CCUGUGGCUUCUGGACUCUUCUAGAUGUUGGAUAAUUUCGGUGCAUGUUAAUAUCUCUAUGUAAACCCAACGUGUGGACCUUUCCUCCAUAUUUCCCGAUAACCCCCUGCAGAAAUAGACAAACACUCAAACUCGUGGAAUUCUGUUAGAUGAAACCCUAAUUUUGGAUGUUGGUUGCACAUAGGUCCUUUUCCAUGAUUAGUUGACGGUUAAAUGUGAGCAUUAAGGACCGUCAACAAGCUCCCCCAGGCUUAACCUAUGGUCGUCCCUAAGCAAAGAUGGACUCAAGAGUUUUUGCAGUGGUUUCAUGCCUUAAAGCUACACAUGCGUUCAAACAAGAUCUCAUCUUUGGGUUAGGGUAAACUAUUAAGAUUUAAACUUACUCAUUUUUCCUUCCACCAUGGGGCUUGCAACCGUCACUUGUGUCUUGAGCAGUUAAAAGAUAGAACGGUCUAGUCAAGCGCCAUGUCUCUUGUUCUUCGAUUAACUAUAGCUCUGGAGUUUUUGCAGAUUUUCAAAUAAAACUCAGAGAUUCCUUGUAUGACUCUCUCUAGUCUCUCUUUUGUGGUAUUUCUGGAUCCUUACCAAGGCAGUAAUGGAGUAUGCCUUCUCUCAAAGUAUGUGGUAUUUUUGGUAUGAGGCAUAGUGGCAUUGCCUUCUCUCUCACCCUACUCUAAUAAGGUUUUGACAUCUGGAGCUCAUAGGUGGGAGACAGCUAAUACAUACUUACAAGACAUUUAUUGCAUAGUCAAACCAUGGAUCGAGAAGAACAAGUCAAUAAGUCAAAUCAAGAUGUGCAUGUGUGGAGAAUGAAUGGUGAUAAUGGUGAAAAUAAUGGUGAAAGUCUAAUUCUACUGCUCUUUUGAGGGGGUACAUACCUUCCUUGCACUUGAGGCUUUUGAGGGGAAUGAGAUGCUCUAUAUUUUUAUUUUUCUUUUCUCUCAGGUGGGUAUCUUGUACCCCUAAUUCUACUGUCGGACACUUGUCUAUUUUUACCUCUCGUCUCACUUUUUCUCUUUUUUUCGAGGUUUCGGGCACUUGCCCCUUUUUAUUUCCUCAUAUUCACUUUUUUUCAGAGCACUCACCCUCCUGGAAUAAUGUAGUAAGUGGUAGUAACCAAAAUAUCUCGAGCAUUUAUUUCACGGGGAAUAACAGGGAUAGGAUAAUGUUUUUGGCUAUUCUCUCUUAGAUAGGAGUAGAAUAAUUUUGGGUGAAUCUGGAUAUGGAAAUGAGUGGAUGUAUGUGGAUGCGUACUUCCGGAGUAGAAGCAGCAUGUAUGAGUGAACGUGCAAGUGAAUCUUGAUUUUAACCACAUAAGAAGCUCCUAAUGGUCUACACAGCUUGACCACACUCAAUGCUCAUAAGCAGUAAAAAGUAAAUGUAUGGUUCAUAGUCUAAUAAACAUGUAUAUAUGGCUGUGGUAGGAUUUUAAACUCUCAUCAUACAGGAACUCAUCAUGCAACAUUUUAAAGAUUUUCAAAGAAAAAAUUCUCUAGAAUUCUAGCAUCUCUAGGAACAGAUAAACAACAGCUUAAUCUUCCUAUAUCAUAUCCGUUAAUGACUUAGACUUUAGAUCAAGUACUCUUCUCACAAGUUCAGGUUUAGAGCAAAUCUUAAUUAAUAACCGUCAUGCCUAAACUUGAGAGAGAUUUCAAUUUUGCGAACUAGUCAUGGCAGAGCAACUAUUCAUCAUUUCCAUGUGAGAGCUUAUCAUGAGGGUUCAUAUCAAACUUUAUUUAUUUAUUUAGCAAACUAAGCAAAGAUAUAUAUAAGCACAAAAUCUUUAUUUGGGUUUUUAUGAUUAUGCAUCUUUUUAUUGUUUGAGUAAAGUAUAAACGCAAAUAUAAACACUUAGCUAGAUAAAUGGGGGUGCUCUCCCCCAAGCUGGAUUUUGACGUAAUUUCUUCUGAUAUAGCUAGCAGGUGGCGGAGGUGUAUUUGAAUGUCGGCAGCACCCUGACAACGAUUAGGAUGUCCUCCGUCUGCUAGUCUUCUUUGAUCAUUGAAUUCUGUGAAGCUCAAAUAGACAACAAAGCUUUGUGGAACUAGUUAACAUAAAUAUCUAGCCUUUAUCAUGUUGAGCCUCCUCUUAUAAAUAUUACUCUCUUUGGUAGGAUCAUAAAUUUAUUUUUAUAUUUUAAUUUUUAUAGGACAGGAAUAUAUUUAUUUUAUUUUUACGCCACCAUAGUGAAUGUACUUAUGGGUUUUAUGCCAUGAGCAUACUCACAUGGGGCUUACUAUUUUUAACAUUUUUAUUUUCUUUUCAAGAUAGCAUGAUUAACUAACAAGCCAUUUAAUAAAAGUAAAUAAUUUAGGGGAAAAGGGAAUGCUGAAAGGAUAAAUAUGGAUAACUAUCGAUUUUACCUUUGGGCGAGGGUUCAAUGUUUUAAGUCUUCUGAACAAGACUUCUCGCCGUGUUCAUUCUUUAGGUGCAUCAUUUGAUUUAGGUGUGGACCUUGACGUCUGCACCUCUUGAUACGGUGUCACCCAUGUUCUUCGUUUGCCCAGCAGUUCGAAGUGCGGCGUUGGUAGCAUCCUGCUCAGUGUGUUUGUGCUCGUAGAUCUAGGUUCUUCACUUGGUGGAGUCUGAGAGUUGUAAAACUCCUCCAUAUUUUGCUCGAAGUAUACCUGCUCAUAGAGACAAGGCAGAGAUCAAGUGUAUGGGCCCCGUUGGUGGAAAACACCAACAGAACCAUAAGUGUAUUUGUUCUUCUCUAACCUUAAGCAUAGUGAGCAAGACAAAGUUGAUGGAUAAUAAGAUCAUGAGUGUAGCAUUUAAAACAUUUGUCAGAUCAGAUCGCUCAACCUAAUGGAAAGAUAAUCUAUCUAUACUUAUAUUUUUUCAUAUAUCUUCCAAAGAUUGCGUGUGCAAUAUUUUAGCUCAUAUGAUUAGGAGUGUGGGAUCACAAAGGUGGUAGGACAAAACAUACUGAAUCGAUUGGGUUGGUUAAUCUAGAGUUGUAAAUCAUACACGUUUGUCUCUUUUAUUAAUGUGAACGCUAGAACCAAGGAGAAGCUUAUAAAAGUGAUAGUCAAGUAUCUUAAGAUGUUAGCUUACUCGAAGAGUGAUGGUACAGUAUCACCUUGUGGAAGCUUUUCUUUCUUAGCGAUUGUGCAUUGUGUUUGUGGCACCCUCCAUGGAUCAUCUCUUGUGAGCUAUGCCUUCCUUGUGUAAAUUGUUAACCUUCAUGUCUCUCUCUCUUUGUCUCUAAUGUGAGUUUAUCUCAGGACUUCCUAGCUCGAUAUUGAAUGUUUUCCUGCAGGGGUUAGUCGAACAAAAUAUCCAAUAUCUACUAUAGCAUACUAUCGGCUCAAAAAUCAACCUAGACACCAUGUCUAAUUUGAUUUAGGAGAGCAUUUUAACCUAAGCACCAUGCUUAAUUUAAAAUCCCUUGGAAGUAAGAUCAUCUUUCCUAAACUAAGCACCAUACUUAAUUAAGAGAUAAAUGAAACUACUCCAAACCUAGUCAUAUACUAAAGCAAAUAAAGGUAGCAUGAGAGCAUUUAUAGAGAUCUACUCAAGUGGAGAUGAAGUAGUGUGAUUAGUAUUUAACAAAUUGAGCUUGUCUCAAAGGUAGGGACAACCAACAUAGCAACAUGGCAAAGGAUGUUUUUAUGUAAAGUACUCCCCCAAGCUUGAAUUUUGCAAAAUUCAAGUUUGGAUGAAUUUAAUUCAAUGUUGUAUGAUGAUUGGUUGGACAUACCUUGUGCUUGUCAUUCAUCCGAUCUUCUUGCUCUAAUCCUGGAAAGGUUAGUGACAAGAAUACCCAAACGAUUUUUUUACCAUUAUCCUUAUGUGCUCAAUACACAAGGUAAUGCUGCAAAUAAUUAAAAGCUCAUGUUACGAUCUGAUCAGUGCUUAUUUUAGGACAUAAGCUUGUCCUUGGGAAACCAUCAAUUUAUGUCGGCGAAGUGGUUUCCCCUCCAACGCUGACCUAUAUCAACUCAACGAGAUCUGCAAUAUUUAUUAUAAACAUAUGCAUCGACAACCGCCCUUUUAAAGUUUUUAUAAAUAGAAAGGAUGAGGGGGUUGGAGAUCUCAAAUGUGGUGAUGUUGGAGAGACCAAUAGAUUGGGAAGAUGUUGCAUAUGAGCAUGGAGUAAACGAAGUGGCUAUGAAAUAAAUUCCAUGCUCAUUAAUGUUUGGAGUGAAAUCCAUGUGGUAUGGUGAAAAUGGUAAGGUGAGUGUGGUAAAAAAAAGGAAAAGAAAAAGGAUACACGGACGACUUGGUUUGAAACUAGCACAGCUACCGUUCCCCGGCAACGGUGCCAGAAAGCUUGUUGGGUAUUUUAAACACAAACAGAAAAAUCCGCAAGCGCACGGAUACCGAUGUAGCUUUCACCCGGGAGUAUUCCAGAGUAUCGAUUUUCCACAGGGAACGUGAGUGUACUAAUUAAGAUUCAAGAUUGCCCAAAGAUAACUAUAUAAUUAUUUUUGGUCGGAAGAGAGGAAGUUUCGUGAGAGUUCUCUAGUUCAUCUAAGAAUCAAGAAUUACUUCAAAGAUUAUUUAUUUCGGGACAUCAGAACACUAACCACAGAAAGAGAUGAGAAGGGGGCUAGGAAGCUCUGACUUUGGUCCAACAAACACCAAUUCGAACGAGGUGGAAUACGUCGACCGUUAGGGCUGUCACUACCGUAGGGCUACCACAACAAUCCGCAGGAUUGGGUGUAAUUCUAGGUAAUUGGAAGACUAAACACCACAUCUAAUCUAUUAAUUACUACUCUAGCGUUUCAAAGACUAGAGCACCUAAUGCAAGCGAGAAUCCAAUAAAUAACUUGAAUAUAAAUAAAAGUAAUUAAAAAACUCAGGAAUUAUGAAUUGAAGAACUUGGAGAACGAUGAAGAACGAACCAGUUGCUGCAAAAGUACAAUGUUGAGGAAGAUCCGACAGAUCCGGCUCCUCCUCCGCUCUCCUCUUCUCUCUCCCUAUUCUCUAGAUUACAAAUAGAACUAACUAGAACUAGAUGAACUAGAACUAGAACUAGAUGAACUAGAGGGAUCCUCUCUACUUGGAUGAAUAAUGGAAACGCUAGCUUUGAUUCUGUAGAAGAAAUAUCUCCUCUAGGGGCCAGGGGGCCUGCUUAUAUAGCCCUUCCAAAUGAACAUGGGCCGUCGGAUCAAACCGACCUUAAUCGAAUGGUUCUCCUUGAUCCACAAAGGCGGUGGAGCAUGAUCCGCGAGACCUGCCCUGAUUGGUCACCAGGGCAGGGCGGGCGCCCAGCCCACGGGCCCGCUCGGCCUCCCGCUCAUUCUCGUGGCUUCUGGACUAUUCUAGAUGUUGGAUAAUUUUGGUGCAUGUUAAUAUCUCUAUGUAAACCCAAUGUGUGGACCUUUCCUCCAUAUUUCCUGAUAACCCCCUACAUAAAUAGACAAACACUGUAACUCGUGGAAUUCUGUGAGAUGAAACCCUAAUUUUGGAUGUUGGUUGCACAUAGGUCCUUUUCCUUGAUUAGUUGACGGUUAAAUGUGAGCAUUAAGGACCGUCAACAAGCUCCCCCAAGCUUAACCUAUGCUCGUCCCUGAGCAAGGAUGGACUCAAGAGUUUCUGCAGUGGUUUCAUGCCUUAAAGGUACACAUGCGUUCAAACAAGAUCUCAUCUCUGGGUUAGGGUAAACUAUUAAGAUUUAAACUUACUCAUUUUUCCUUCCACCAUGGGGCUUGCAACCGUCACUUGUGUCUUGAGCAGUUAAAAGAUAGAACGGUCUAGUCAAGCGCCAUGUAUCUUGUUCUUCGAUUAACUAUAGCUCUGGAGUUUUUGUAGAUUUUCAAAUAAAACUCAGAGAUUCCUUGUAUGACUCUCUCUAGUCUCUCUUUUGUGGUAUUUCUGGAUCCUUACCAAGGCAGUAAUGUAGUAUGCCUUCUCUCAAAGUAUGUGGUAUUUUUGGUAUGAGGCAUAGUGGCAUUGCCUUCACUCUCACCCUACUCAAAUAAGGUUUUGAUAUCUGGAGCUCAUAGGUGGGAGACAGCUAAUACAUACUUACAAGACAUUUAUUGCAUAGUAAAACCAUGGAUCCAGAAGAACAAGUCAAUAAGUCAAAUCAAGAUGUGCAUGUGUGGAGAAUGAAUGGUGAUAAUGGUG
rnacentral:lncRNA from 1 species